AGCCCCGCCGAGCUGAGCGGGGCGGCCCCGGGUCGGGGUUGUGUGGUGCUGCGAGGCUCCGUCAGGUGCCUGCCCGUGGGCCUGUCGGGCUUCCAUCCCUCCCGCAGCACGGCUUGUGCUGCACCGUGGGCGUUCUGUCAGGAUUUGGUGCUUCUAGGUGAAGUUUCACAGAUGUCCAUCGAAUGGAAUCGGUGCAGAAAUACUGGCCUGGGUGUACGGGGAGACCAGCAGAUGUGAGGAUGGAUCCAUUGGCUUCACUGGGGUGGGAAAGAUGCUCAAGAAAAACGCUUGGGAACAUCACCAGCAUGAAGGAAAAGAGAGCAGAUCUGCUCCAUCUGUGAAAUUUGCUGAACUGGUCUGAGAAUCCCUCAAAAAGAGUACAGGACUGUGGGUAAGGUUUGUCUUCAAUGCAGCUCCACAGAAGCCUGAAUGUAUAUAAGGAAAGAAGCUGAAUGUUAUAGUCUGAUAGGAAAGAGGCCUGGAUAUGAUUGUGAGUUUAAACGAGCAGCAAAACUGAGCUCUCUCUGUGCUUUUCACAUCUGGUGAGGCGACACAAAAUAGUUCCUGCCUUUUGAGACUGAAAGAAGCAGAUGAGCCAUUUGGUCAAACACGGGUAAAUGCAGUAUCCAUGUUUCUAUGCUAUAGGCCUGCCCUGCCAGUGGAGAAAUACUGGGAAUGGAUUUCUGAAGCCAUAGAACAAUGAGUGGUUACAAACAUCCCGCUGAUAAUUUUGCUUUGAAUUACUGUGUGCUACUUCUUUCAUGUGUGUGAAUGUAGUCCUCCUGCAGGUAAAACAGACGUGGAAAACAGAGUAGCUCCACUAAGUGCUAUCAGCCUUGGAGGGCAGGGCUGGCAAAACUUUGCACUGUUAUUCAUUAUUUCGAUGGAUAGUCUCCAAAAGCAGGAGGGAGAAAAAGUACUUUAUAGCUCCAUAUGCUUUUUUCUUCAAGGAGUUUGGUAGGUUUAGAGACACUGAAGUGAGAACGAGCUUAUAUCCUAGUGAAAUGGGUGAGUAAUAACACUGCGGGCUUCAGAGGAAAUGGUAGGCAACAGAUUUUUUUGGUACCUCUCAUAGGCACAGGGAAGUUGAGAUCACUGCUUUUGAAAAUCCAAGUAUACGCAGCUUCACCAAGGACUGCACAGCAACUCUUUAUCACAGUUAAAAUUAAAACGUGCAUCUGCACAGUCCGGGCAUGUUCUGUAAGCUAGAGAUGUCUGAUUAUCUGCAGGCCUGAUCUGGUCCCUGGAACAAGUUCAUAUAGCCCAGCAAAAACUUGUCUGAAUAUACAAUGCAAUCCAGCUCCUAAAUAAGAAGCAUUCAUAUGGUCUGUCCCCUUACCUACCAAGAAAUGUCACAACCCCACUUAAUCGUACGGAAGCGUAAUGCAGUUGUCGGGUCAUCUCUUUAUUGAAGAGUACUUUCUGGGUCAUUUCCCUGUCUUGACCUUUUAAUUCUUAUAACCAUUUGAUUUUCUGCCACUGUCAGUGAGAGAACCUUUGUGUAACCACCCCUGGCCAUGGGGUACCUCAGUUUCUAUGACUUAAGGCACUCUAAGGGAAGCCUCUAGGCUACAUCAGAACAUACAACAGUAGAACACUAGACUCUGAGUUACUUACAUACUCACUAACGUGACCCUUUGUAGACUUCUGCAUGUUACAUACUAAGAACGCUUAAACCCCUUAGAUUUUAGAAAUGAGAACAGAACACAACAAACAAAGCAUACGCAACAUAAACCAAUUAACACCAAGCCACACAGAGCUGUGGCCACUGCUACAACCCAACAUCUGUCCUUUAUCUGUCUGGUUAAUCCAGGGAGCAGUCCUGCAUCUUUAGGAGCUCACCAUCUUGCCACUGCAAAAGGUCAAACUGCUCAAUGCCGUGUGGUUACGAGAGCAAGAAGGAUCAAUCCUGCAAAUUCAUUUGAAAGAAUCAAGGCGUUUUCUGUUCCGUGUAUGCAUCCCAUGUGAUGGUACUGGAGCUUUAAGCUUAACGGGAGAGCGUUUCCUCUGUGUGCAGGCAGCUGGGGCAGGAUAAAUGGGCAGGCACUGCCACGGCAGUCAUUGAUUGAUAUGGAUGGUCAUCUCCAGAUUGAUUAUUGUAGAAUCAGGACAGAAUGAAAGGGCCCAGAGGAAAAAUCAGCACCUGUGGUUGCAUUGAA
rnacentral:lncRNA from 1 species